rnacentral:rRNA from 1 species
ACGCUGGCGGCAUGCCUAAGACAUGCAAGUCGAACGAGACGGCCUAUUGAAGAUGGAGUGCUUGCACAAAGUUGGAUAUAGUUUACCGUCUAGUGGCGCAAGGGUGAGUAACGCGUGGGUUAUCUGCCUUCAAGACUGGGAUAACGGUUAGAAAUGAUCGCUAAUACCGGAUAAUACAUAUUUCAGUACGCUGUUAUAUGUUGAAAGGAGCCUUUAAAGCUCUACUCGAAGAUGAGCCUGCGUCGUAUUAGCUAGUUGGUGGGGUAAAGGCCUACCAAGGCGACGAUGCGUAGCCGACCUGAGAGGGUGAUCGGCCACACUGGGACUGAGACACGGCCCAGACACCUACGGGAGACAGCAGUUAGGAAUAUUUGUCAAUGGAGGAAACUCUGAACAAGCAAUGCCGCGUGAAGGAUGACGGUCCUAUGGAUUGUAAACUUCUGUUGUUAGGGAAGAACGACUACACAAGGAAAUGUGUGUAGAGUGACGGUACCUUUCAAGAAAGCUCCGGCUAACUACGUGCCAGCAGCCGCGGUAAUACGUAGGGAGCGAGCGUUAUCCGGAUUUAUUGGGUGUAAAGGGUGCGUAGGCGACUUUAUAAGUCGGUGGUCUAAGUCCGAAGCUUAACUUCGGUUCGCCAUUGAAACUGUAGAGCUUGAGUAUGGAAGAGGUAAGUGGAAUUUCUAGUGUAGCGGUUAAAUGCGUAGAUAUUAGAAGGAACACCAGUGGCGAAAGCGACUUACUGGUCCACUACUGACGCUGAGGCACGAAAGCGUGGGGAGCAAAUAGGAUUAGAUACCCUAGUAGUCCACGCCGUAAACGAUGGAUACUAAGUGUCGGGGCAACUCGGUGCUGAAGUUAACACAUUAAGUAUCCCACCUGAGUAGUACGGUCGCAAGGCUGAAACUCA